rnacentral:rRNA from 1 species
GACGAACGCUGGCGGCGUGCUUAACACAUGCAAGUCGAACGCUGAGGCUUGGUGCUUGCUCCUCGGACGUUAGUGGCGGACGGGUGAGUAACACGUGGAUAACCUGCCUUUAACUCUGGGAUAACCUUGGGAAACUGGGUCUAAUACUGGAUACUACAUUUCACCGCAUGGUUCUGUAUUGAAAGGCGGUUUCUGUUUUUGUUUUAGCUGACUGCGUAUCGGCUUAUUGGUGUGGUAAUGGCUCACCAAGGCGACGCGGGGUAGCCUGCCUGAGAAGGUGAGCGGCGACACUGGGACUGAGGGACGGCACAGACUGGUACGGGAGGGAGCAGGGGGGAAGAUUGCAGAAUGGGCGGAAGCCGGAUGCAGAGGCGCCGCGUGAGGGAUGACGGCGUUCGGGGGGUAAACCACUUGCGGCAGGGAAGAAGCGAAAGUGACGGUACGUGAAGAAGAAGCGCCGGCUAACUACGUG